GGUCAGAGGUGGAUAGUUGAGCCCACGGGGAAAAUGGCCAUUGAGAUGCUUGUAGAAACUCAAGAACAUCUCCAAAAGGGCAGAGAGGGUGCCUUUCCCAUUUUCCAUUCAUAUCAGUAGCUCCUGUUCUAACCUGAUGUCAAGCACACAGAUGGUGCUCAGGGAAUAUGUGCAUGAUCACAAAAUGCUGAAGUCAGGAGAUGGGGAGAAAAGUAAAACAAAAGAAGGAAGGCUAAAUAGGAACAAGAAAUUCAAAGAAGCACAAAAGAAAGCAGAGGUGCCUGGGAACUGCACUGGGCCACGAGCUGGGCAAAGGGAGCCAGUGGGAGAUUCUGGCUCAGAACGUUGGGGUAGUUGCCCAGCUGGCUUGAACCUGUCAAAGUAGACCUGAGGGUUGGCUUCUGAAACCCAGCCAGAAGCGGUGCUUGGUUUUUGUUUUAACCUAGAAGAUUGGGGUUGAAAGAAUUUGCUUGGGAGCCUUGGAGUAAUACAGAUUGGAAUAGAAAUGUCAGAUUUGACAAAACAAGGAGAAAAGUGGCCUAGUUGUUCUGUGUUUUUAUCUAUACCUCAUCUUUAUCUGCAUGUUCCCUCAUGCUGUGGCAAGUCAUUUGUGUACUUCACACAGCUACCAAAUGGCAUCAACCAUGUUUUAGAAUCAAAAGGAAAUCCUUCAUUUCCUUUGGAUGGUGGGACCACAGAAAUACUCAACAGUGAACUCACACAACCCUCUGCUUCUGGUGAGCCUAGUUUUUUCCAUAAUCAUAAACUUUGACAAUUCUUUUUGAUUUAAGGACACCAACUCCCUCUGCUUACACAUCAUGAGGCCCAGAAGUGACCCCAAGCAUUGAAAAUGUCCAGUACUGAGAUUGCAGGAACAGAAUGUGAACACUGAAUAUUCUGCAUAAUCUUAGGAUGGAGCCUCCAGAAUUCUCCAGAAGAAGUGACAGUAAAGAUGGGAAAGCUUCAAGUCCAUGUCUUCCCUUACCUGUAUUGCACAGCCUGCAGAGCACGGCCAGCCAGCCCAUAGGACAGGAAGGACUCCGCGCCUGGGGGUAUGAAGUGGAUGGGGAAAGUGAAGAAACCCAGCUGGAGGACUCCCAUGUCGUAUUUGCGCAGCUUUGCCGUGU